AAUGGAGUAAGAAGGUGGAGAUGGGGGAAAGAGCAUAUUAUACAGUGGAGAGAAAGCUGGACUUGAAGUAUGAAAACAUCUUUACAUGUGGAAUCUUCUUCUUUUGUAACCUUCUGGUUUCUGCCCCAGAACUGCAGGCUCAGGAAGUGAAUUCAAGAGGAUAAGAAGAAUCCAGAACUAAAAAAAGGAUCAUUCUUUGGAAAAAAGAAGAAAGUUUGGGGAAAUUAUGAUGGUGCAAAAAUGUUUUAAAGAAUAAAAAAUGUAUAAAACAGAGAAAUUAAUUUAUU
rnacentral:lncRNA from 1 species